ACAACCCAAGGGGUGGCGGGGGAGGAGGACUUCCUCCUCUGCAGGAAGGCUCCGGGGAAAGACGGGCAUCUCGAGGAUUCAGGGCCAGUUAAAGAUGGGACAUGCUUCUGGCCAGCGAUAGCAAAGCCUCUCUGCGUUUUAGCCAUAAGGCCACGAACCUUCAAAAGCGGGUGAGUGAAAAUUAACCAGACAGGCCUGCUGUGAUGGGGAGAAGCGACGGCUCGAACCCGAGCCCCCAACGCCCGUCUGUAAAUUUCAUCCAAUUCCGUCAAAAGGGAAGGGGGAGUAAUAGCCGUUGUUUUUUGUUUAAUUCCCAUAAGAGUGAACAGAGAGGAACAGAUCUUUGGUUUUCCCGAACUGGUACAUCAGAGCUGAACUGGAAAGCCUCCAAGGUGUUCCAAGCCUAGUCAGACUGUUUCCUAAACCAUCCAAUUGGGGGCUGAAUUAUCUUCCGGCUGGUGCACUCUCCCAAUUUAAAUUCAUUCCUGAGUAUCUGAUCUGUUGUUUUGUAAAUUCGUUUUGGACCUG